ACAGCUCCAUCCACAGAGAGGACUGAAGUCUCCCAGAAAGCCAGCAGUGUAAUCUACAAGAUGAGACUGCAGAGUCUUCUCCUGUGCCUGGUGGUAGCCACUCAUGGUGUCCUGUCCCAGGUGCAGCUGCAGGAGUCAGAGCCCAGCCUGGUAAAGCCUUCACAGACCUUGUCCCUCACCUGCUCAGUUUCUGGAUUCUCCAUCACAACCAGUUAUUACUAUUGGAACUGGGUCCGUCAGCCCCCAGGAAAGAGCCUGGAGUGGAUGGGGUACAUAAGAUACGAUGGUAGCACUAAUUACUACCCAUCCUUCAAAAGACGCAUCUCCAUCUCCAGAGACAAAGGCAAGAACCAGUUCUCUCUGCGGCUGACCUCUGUCACUGCAGAGGACACAGCCACCUAUUACUGUGCAAGAAUCACAGUGUUUUAA